UGUGGGUGUGUUGAGGCUGAGGGCUAGUCCUGAGCUGGCUCUGGCCACCCCCCUGCUGCUCCCACAGGCAGCCCCGGUGACCCUGCAACUGCUCUUCUUGGAUGGUGAAGAGGCGCUGAAGG
rnacentral:sRNA from 1 species